UACGGGGGGAGCAAGCGUUGUUCGGAUUUACUGGGCGUAAAGGGCGCGUAGGCGGUCGUGACAAAUCACUUGUGAAAUCUCCGGGCUUAACUCGGAACGGUCAAGUGAUACUGUCGGACUAGAGUACAGAAGGGGCAACUGGAAUUCUCGGUGUAGCGGUGAAAUGCGUAGAUAUCGAGAGGAACACCUGCGGCGAAGGCGGGUUGCUGGGCUGAUACUGACGCUGAGGCGCGAAAGCGUGGGGAGCAAACAGG
rnacentral:rRNA from 1 species